rnacentral:rRNA from 1 species
UCCCAUGGGUGGCGCGCUUACCAUGCAGUCGAACGAUGAAGCCCAGCUUGCUGGGUGGAUUAGUGGCGAACGGGUGAGUAACACGUGAGUAACCUGCCCUCGACUCCAGGAUAAGCCCGGGAAACUGGGUCUAAUACUGGAUAUUCAAUUUCCAUCGCAUGGUGGUUUUUGGAAAGGAUUCUGGUCGAGGAGGGACUCGCGGCCUAUCAGCUUGUUGGUGAGGUAAUGGCUCACCAAGGCGACGACGGGUAGCCGGCCUGAGAGGGUGACCGGCCACACUGGGACUGAGACACGGCCCAGACUCCUACGGGAGGCAGCAGUGGGGAAUAUUGCACAAUGGGCGAAAGCCUGAUGCAGCGACGCCGCGUGAGGGAUGACGGCCUUCGGGUUGUAAACCUCUUUCAGUAGGGAAGAAGCGAAAGUGACGGUACCUGCAGAAGAAGCGCCGGCUAACUACGUGCCAGCAGCCGCGGUAAUACGUAGGGCGCAAGCGUUAUCCGGAAUUAUUGGGCGUAAAGAGCUCGUAGGCGGUUUGUCGCGUCUGCCGUGAAAGUCCGGGGCUUAACUCCGGAUCUGCGGUGGGUACGGGCAGACUAGAGUGCUGUAGGGGAGACUGGAAUUCCUGGUGUAGCGGUGAAAUGCGCAGAUAUCAGGAGGAACACCGAUGGCGAAGGCAGGUCUCUGGGCAGUAACUGACGCUGAGGAGCGAAAGCAUGGGGAGCGAACAGGAUUAGAUACCCUGGUAGUCCAUGCCGUAAACGUUGGGCACUAGAUGUGGGGGACAUUCCACGUUCUCCGCGUCGUAGCUAACGCAUUAAGUGCCCCGCCUGGGGAGUACGGCCGCAAGGCUAAAACUCAAAGGAAUUGACGGGGGCCCGCACAAGCGGCGGAGCAUGCGGAUUAAUUCGAUGCAACGCGAAGAACCUUACCAAGGCUUGACAUGGACCGGAUCGGGCUAGAAAUAGUCUUUCCCUUCGGGGCUGGUUCACAGGUGGUGCAUGGUUGUCGUCAGCUCGUGUCGUGAGAUGUUGGGUUAAGUCCCGCACGAGCGCAACCCUCGUUCCAUGUUGCAGCACGUGAUGGUGGGGACUCAUGGGGAGACUGCCGGGGUCAACUCGGAGGAAGGUGGGGGACGACGUCCAAAUCAUUCAUGG